GGGGAAGUGCUGGAAUUGGCAGACAGGCAUGACUUAGGAUCAUGUGUCGCAAGGCGUGAGGGUUCAAGUCCCUCCUUCCCCA
rnacentral:tRNA from 1 species